AUCCGGUUGACGAGUCCCAAACAGGAUGAAACGAACGUCAUGGAU
rnacentral:hammerhead_ribozyme from 1 species